rnacentral:rRNA from 2 species
UGCAUGACUCUUGGCAACGAAUAUCUUGGCUCUGGCAUUGAUGAAGAAUGUAGCGAAAUAUGUUAUUUGGUGUGAAUUGCAGAAUCUUGUGAACCAUCGAGUCUUUGAAUGCAAGUUGCGCUCAAGGUUAUUAGACUAAGGGCACUCUUGCCUGGGCAUCACG